rnacentral:lncRNA from 10 species
CGAAGGUCCUCUGAGGAGGAGAAACAAAGCAAGGCGUGCAUGAGCGACACGGGAGAUUAUAUGGCAAGGUCACCAGCUCUUUAUAUCCCAACUGACUCAUUCAUUCCCCAGAGACUCCUAAGGCCAAGAGUGAACGUGCAGGCACAGGGCCAAGCAUGGGGAGCGGGGGGCAGGGGGCCCAUACCCAAGCAUUCUAGCUCUACCCAAGUGGCUCUGAGCUGAGCUCCCCUGCACAGCUCUCUUCCUAACCCCAGUCCCCCAGCAGUACCCCUCUACCCCAUCUGUGCCCAUGAGAAGCGGCAUGCCCUGCGGGGGCCUGACUAGAUUUGCCACCACAGCCCCUACACCAAUCUGGCCAUGGCACAGCCAGCUCCUAUUUUCACACACAGCUUCUGGAAAGCACACCCAGGGACCCCUGAGCUACCAGGAACCCUCCACCACCACCGCACUAUGUGGCCCAGCUUGGCGCCCAGGCCCCUACCUUUGAACUUCUUCAGCAUCCCUUUUAAGACAAAGGUCUUGAGAGAAACAUUCCAGACUUUAUUCUUCAUCUCAGAAGAGACUGUGGUUGGCUUGGGGCCAGGCACAUUGCUACACCUGCAGGACAAGGGCUCUGAGAAGGGCCUGUGUGCACCAUUUUGCUCCCACAGGCUGUGACAAUUAGGAUGGCGAGGUCCUCUUGGCAGAAAGAGGUAGAAAAGGGAGAGCCAGACCUCAUGCAGAAAAACCCAUGGCCAGGCAGGUGGGCGUUUGUCUCGGAAGGUCCCCAGGCAAGCAAGUCGGGGGAUCAGGAGGUGAGAGGUCAGGGGACAGGGAAUAAAGACAAGGCUCAGUGAAAAGGGAAGAAGCAACUUAGAGAGGCCCCAGGAGCUGUGAGGUCACUCACCUGCUCAGCGUGCUUUUGAAUUCCUGGAAGGAAAGAUAGAGGAAACCAAAUCAGCAUCAGGUAACCUCCAUUCACCUCUGAGAAACAAAGCUUGCCCCUUGCUGUGCCUCCCAGAUGUAAGCAUAAGCAAGUGUGCCACGCCUCACUGCCUGCGUGGGCCUCAGGGGCAGCAGCUUCCAGUGGCUGCUGGCUGCAGGGUGUCUCACCCACGCAGUGGACCUCUCACCCUUUGCCACAACUCUUCACGUGCUUUCUUUCUAUCUUUGCUGCUUUCUUAGUUACAGAAUCAUCACUGGAGCUAUCCCAUGGGACCCAGUGCUGCGUGUGUCCUGGAAACCACCUGAGGGAGGUCACAGCCCUUAUGCACCUACUGCUCACUCAGCCCCAUAAUGACUGUUCUUAACCCAUCUAUGGAUUGUGAAGUUUAUCUAGUUGUUUAUAACUUUUUUUUUAGCGAAAUAGAAUAGAAAACAUCAAAGUGCAUACGUGUAGCAAAGGUGGAGUCUCGCUCUGUCUCCCAGGCUGGAGUGCAGUGGCGCGAUCUCGGCUCACUGCAAGCUCUGCCUCCCGGGUUCACACCAUUCUCCUGCCUCAGCCUCCGGAGUAGCUGGGACUACAGGCGCCCGCCACCACGCCCGGCUAUUUUGUAUUUUUAGUAGAGACAGGGGUUUCACCGUGUUUGCCAGGACGGUCUUGAUCUCCUGACCUCGUGAUCCGCCCACCUCGGCCUCCCAAAGUGCUGGGAUUACAGGCGUGAGCCACCCUGCCAGGCCUCAUGUUUGCUUAUCUUAACCAAAAUGAGCCCUCGUUUCACUUUCCUGUUCUACCCUAAGGAAGAUAAAAUAUCAUUCCAACUUGGGGUAGAGGCAGGUGCCAGUACCCAAGACCCUGGGCUGUGCAGCAGGGGCUACUGUAAACCCAAGACCCUAAACUUCCUCCCUCUGCCAGAGCCAGGGAGCAGCUCUGACGCCCUCUAGCCCCUUCUCCGUUAGCCUCGAUUUCAAAUAAAAACACUGUGAACAUGAA